rnacentral:lncRNA from 10 species
GCGAGAGUCCAUCUCAAACAAAAAAGAAAAGAAAAGAAAAGAAAAAAGAAAAGGUACAGUAAAAAUACAGUAUUAUAAUCUUACAGGACCUCUGUCAUAUGUGUAGUUCUUAUUGGCCAAAACGUUGUUAUGUGGCACAUGACUGUCCUGUGAUAAAGUAAGAUGCCAACAUCAGGGAAAGGGUGAGGGGGAUGUGGUAACUCUUUGUACCAUCUUUCCAAGUUUCCAGUAAAUUUAAAAUUACUCCAAAAUAAAAAGUUUAGGGUGAAAAAAGAAGGAAAGGAAAUGAAAAUGUCCACCUAUAGGAGACUGGAUAAAUCGUGGUAUAGUUAUUCAAUGGAGUAUUAUGCAGCAGUGAAAAUGAGUCAAUUUCCAUUACACACAGCAACACAGAUGUGCUCCCAUUUACAUAUAACAUUUCAACAGGGUGUGGUGAAUCGUGUCUGUAAUCCCAGCACUUUGGGAGGCCGAGCCAGGAGGCAUCACUUGAGGCCAGGAGUUCAAGACCAGCCUGGACCACAUGGCAAGAAAAAUUAAAAAUAAACUGGGCAUGGUGGCGUGAUCUGCCUGUAGUUCCAGCUUCUCAGGAGGCAGAGGUGAGAGGAACACUUGAGCCCUGGAGGUCGAGGUUGCAGUGAGCCAUGAUCCCACCGCUGCACUCCAGCCUGGGCAACACAGUGAGACUCUGUCUCAAAAAUAAAUAUCAUUUCAAAACACAGGCAAAGCUAAACAAUAAGCAGUUUAGGGACAUAGAUAGAAUUAUUAUUUUUUUUAAAGUAAGGGAGCCAGGCAUGGUGGCACACACCUGUGGUCCCAGAUACUCGGGAGGCUGAGGCAGGAGGAUCACUUGGGACCAGGAGUUCUGGGCUGUAGUACACUAUGCCAAUGCAGGGUCCACGCUAAGUUUGGCAUCAGUUUGGUGGCCUCCUGAGAGCGGGGGAUCACCAGGUUGCCUAAGGAGGGGUGAACUGGCCCAUGUUGGAAAUGGAGCAGGUCAAAACUCCUGUGUUAAUCACUGGUGGGAUCAUGCCUGUGCAUAGCCACUGCACUCCAUCCUGGGCAACAUAGCAAGACCCUAUCUCUUAAAAAAAGAAAAAACUAGCCAGAUGUGGUGGCAUGUGCCUAUAGUCCCAGCUACUCAGGAGGCUGAGGUGGGAGGAUCGCAUGAGCCCAGGAGUCCGAGGUUGCAGUGAACUAUGAUUGUACCACUGGACUCCAGCCUGGUCUACAAAAUGUGACCUUAUCUCUCAUAAACAAAACAAAACAAAAUAAAAUGGAAGCCCCUGAGAAGCUAAGGGAAAAGAUGCUCUUCAGAAGGAGAGGGGUACACCCUGGCCGCAGGUUCCUCUUCUCUGCCAACCUUUUCCUGUUGUCUCCAUCUAUUCACUUUGUUCAGCAUUGCUUUCUGUGAUUUGUCUUUUGAAUCACGUCCUUCAAGCAUUCUCACACUCCUCACUCCUCUCGGCCUCUAAAGGACUCACCUGGCCAAACUCCAGCCAUCCUCUUCUCUGUGCCAGCCGAGCCCAGCAGAAGGAAACCACCCAGCCAGCCCAACGGGUUUUACCUGAAUCAGAGAAAUCACAGGCCUCAGACAGGCGCAGGGCACUCUCUAUGUGUCUCUGGUGUGCUUACAUUUCCCCCCUGCCCUCCAGCCCAUGACUAGGUCCCACACUUCCCUGUGCACAUAGAAGCCAUCAGAAGGGAACCCCCUUGUCAUCUGUCCCUGUGAUUCCCUCUCUCAAGGAUUGGGGUCUCCCUCCCUCCUUCCUUCCUUCCUUCUUUCCUUCCUUCCUUCCUUCCUUCCCUGCCUCCCGCCCUUCCUUCCUUCCUUCUCUCCCUCCCUCCCUGCCUUCCUUCCUUCCUUCUUCCCUUCCACCUCCCUCCUUCUCUCCCUCUUUCCUCUUCCAUUGAAGUUUCUCCUCCUCUCCUCCUCCUCCCCCCUCCUCCUCUUCCUCCUCCUUUUCCUCCUCCCCUCCUCCUCCUCUUCCUCUGCCUGUCCUCCUCCUCCCCUCCUCUUCAUCCUCCCCUUGUCCUCCUCCUCUUCCUUUCCCCCUCCUCCUCCUCUUCCUUCCCCCUCCUCCUCCCCUCCUCCUUCCCUCCUCUUCCUCUCCUCCUCCUCUUCCUCCUGCCCUCCCCCCUCUUUCUCCUCCCUCCUCUUCAUUUCCUCCUCUUCUCCUCUUUCUCUUCCUGUCUCCUAUAUCAUUCAUCAUCUCUCUCUCCUUCUGCCAAAUCAUGCCCAUCACUAUCCUCAAAUGCUCCUGCCUCUUCCAUUCAUUUUUUAAAAAGAAUUCCUCCCUUGAGGGAACCGAGAGAUAAGAGAGACUGUAGC